rnacentral:rRNA from 1 species
CUGCAUGGAGCCGUCCUUGAAAUACCACCCUUUAAUGGCUGGUGUUCUAACGUAGGCCCCUUAUCGGGGUUGCGGACAGUGUCUGGUGGGUAGUUUGACUGGGGCGGUCUCCUCCUAAAGAGUAACGGAGGAGCACGAAGGUUGGCUAAUCCUGGUCGGACAUCAGGAGGUUAGUGCAAUGGCAUAAGCCAGCUUGACUGCGAGCGUGACGGCGCGAGCAGGUGCGAAAGCAGGUCAUAGUGAUCCGGUGGUUCUGAAUGGAAGGGCCAUCGCUCAACGGAUAAAAGGUACUCCGGGGAUAACAGGCUGAUACCGCCCAAGAGUUCAUAUCGACGGCGGUGUUUGGCACCUCGAUGUCGGCUCAUCACAUCCUGGGGCUGAAGUAGGUCCCAAGGGUAUGGCUGUUCGCCAUUUAAAGUGGUACGCGAGCUGGGUUUAGAACGUCGUGAGACAGUUCGGUCCCUAUCUGCCGUGGGCGCUGGAGAACUGAGGGGGGCUGCUCCUAGUACGAGAGGACCGGAGUGGACGCAUCACUGGUGUUCGGGUUGUCAUGCCAAUGGCACUGCCCGGUAGCUAAAUGCGGAAGAGAUAAGUGCUGAAAGCAUCUAAGCACGAAACUUGCCCCGAGAUGAGUUCUCCCUGACCCUUUAAGGGUCCUGAAGGAACGUUGAAGACGACGACGUUGAUAGGCCGGGUGUGUAAGCGCAGCGAUGCGUUGAGCUAACCGGUACUAAUGAACCGUGAGG